UGUUCUUUUUCAAAACUGUGUUGCAGCCUUGUGCUCUGCAGACAAUACGCCUAUCCUUCAACCAAGCAGCUUCAAUAUCAUUGUAUUUCCCCGUUUCUCACAUUUAUGUCUUUGUUUUGAAAGGCAAUGGUGUACAGAUAAAAGCUGAGGAGUAAGACACGGAGUGGAUCGCAUCUCAGCAAUUUGCUUUAGGUGAAGGCUCUCAGGUUACAGGUUCAAGUUCAUAUCAUGAAAGCAUGUCAGACAAGAGAUGUAAAACUGAGUUCACUCUGUCCUGGUGUAGAGCUUCCUCUCCAGUCUGACAGCGCUGCUUCUCAUCCACUGCUCACCUGCCGAAAGCAAAGUGCAACAGGCUGCGACUUAUUGCCUCUGACAGUAAUCCAUUGUCAAACGUAAAGCCUAUUAGAGCAUGCCUAUGAAAACACACUCACAGGGAAGCCGCAAGCAAAAGGCCACCUCAUUAUCACAGCUUUCAGGCUCUGCUCCCCUUUGUGAUACGAUGGCACUGAUCUCCAGAGGACAUAGUGACGUCACAGAAGAAGAG